AGCAGCCGCGGUAAUUCCAGCUCCAAUAGCGUAUAUUAAAGUUGUUGCAGUUAAAAAGCUCGUAGUUGAAUUUCGGGGUUCUACCGUUGGUCGGGCAAUUGUCUGAACUGGCGUGUGGAAUUUCUACCUUCUGGGGAACUAUCAUGUUAUUAAUUUAGCGUGGUGGGAAACCAGGACCUUUACCUUGAAAAAAUUAGAGUGUUCAAAGCAGGCUUACGUCUGAAUACAUUAGCAUGGAAUAAUAAAAUAGGACGGUGGUCCUGUUUUGUUGGUUUCUGAAUCACCGUAAUGAUUAAUAGGGAUAGUUGGGGGCAUUAGUAUUCAAUUGUCAGAGGUGAAAUUCUUGGAUUUAUUGAAGACUAACUUCUGCGAAAGCAUUUGCCAAGGAUGUUUUCAUUAAUCAAGAACGAAAGUUAGGGGAUCGAAGACGAUCAGAUACCGUCGUAGUCUUAACCAUAGACUAUGCCGACUAGGGAUCGGACGAUGUUAAUUUUUCUUGACUCG
rnacentral:rRNA from 1 species